ACAAGAAAGAGCAUUAACUUUCCAUGUGCCUCCGUAUUCUGCAAUUUCUCCCUCUUCAGGCCAAUAUCGAGCACAUUUAUUCUAAAAAGUAUAUUAGGAUCAACAUCCUUCAAGCGUACUCUCGUGUGAUCAACUGCAAGAAAAAUUAUAGAAUGUAUAAUCUAACAGUGAAGAAACAACUUUUAAGGUGGCGCAAUACAAAUAUAUAUCUUACACGAUAAUGUGAAAUCACCAGGAUUGGAUGAACUUGGACGUGCCAGAAAGGAACUAUCAUAACCUCGUUCCAUUAAUAAGCGCUCUGCCUCUAAUCCUGAUAUGUUAGGGUGAAACCAUC